rnacentral:rRNA from 1 species
UACGGAGGGAGCUAGCGUUGUUCGGAAUUACUGGGCGUAAAGCGUGCGCAGGCGGUUCGCUGUGUCCUGUGUGAAAGCCCCGGGCUUAACCUGGGAAUGGCAUGGGAAACUGGCGGGCUGGAGUGUGGCAGAGGGGGGUGGAAUUCCGCGUGUAGCAGUGAAAUGCGUAGAGAUGCGGAGGAACACCGAUGGCGAAGGCAGCCCCCUGGGCUAACACUGACGCUCAGGCACGAAAGCGUGGGGAGCAAACAGG